UCUCUCACCUUACCAUCGUCUCUCUCUCACCUUACCAUCGUCUCUCUCUCACCCACCUUAUACAGAACUCAACAACGACGCACCUUACCUUCGACGCAAGUGAAUCUCAACAACGAAAUCAUUCAUCUUCUUAAUUUCGUGAAUCUCAACAACGAAAUCUCAACAACGCAAGUGAAUCGCACCUUACCUUCGACGCAAGUGAAUCUCAACAACGAAAUCAUUCAUCUUCUUAGUUUCGUGAAUCUCAACAACGAAAUCUCAACAACGCAAGUGAAUCGCACCUUACCUUCGACGCAAGUGACUUUCAAAUUCGUUUUGUGAAGAUCUUCUCGAAGUCUUGUAGUUGCGUUUGAGGUGAAGAUCUGGAUUGCUAUGAAAUUAUAUGAAAUUCUCGAAGAUCUGAAAUUUCGACUGGAUUGCUAUGAAGAUUGCGUUUGAGUUUUGUAUUUUUAUUUUUAAUUUUAUCUCCCCUUCAUCUUCUGAUUAGGGUUAGAAUUUCUUUUUUCUAUUUUUGAUUUAGUUUCUUGAUUGUUCGUUUUAUUUUUAGAUCUGAUGAGGAUUAAUAGUUACGAUAAGUCCCAUAGUGGGUGGGCUAUUUUUAGAUCUGAUGAGGAUUAUUUUUAGAUCUGAUGAGGAUCGACAAUCAUCGUUCAUGGACAGGAUAAACUUGUGUUGGGUACCCUUCAAGAACUCGAGCUUUGGAAGGAGAAUGCGCUCAAAGAUGGGUUUGAAGUGGGAUAUAGAAAUCAUCUAAAUCUUUACAGAAAGGGAUUUACUGCUUGUAAAGAUUAACUCUGCACUCCUCUCUUCCUCAUAACUCAGCUGUAUUUUUUUCAAUUAAAAUUAUAUAAAACCAUGUAACUUCUAGUAUUUUUUGCUGUUUUUAAAUUUAGAUCUGAUGAUUUAUAAAACAGUUGUAUUCGGGUUUUUUGAUUGUUUCAAUUGUUUAUUAUCAUCAAGUUGUAUUUUA